CUUUAUUGUUUUGAGCAGUGUAUAUAUUUGGGAGUCUAGCCAACUCCUUGGUUUUGCGCCCCUCCCUGUCACAGGUGCCUCAUCCCAGGGCCCUAUUUAGCCUUGUACUGCAGAGAGCCCCAGAUGGAAUUUUUUCCCCCAAGUAGGUUAAUCUCAUAAGAGCAGACAUUAGGCUGUUAGUGUAAGACCUGCUAAAGAUGGGGUACAUUGACGUUGUGGCAGGCUUAUGCAAUGUAUGAUCAUAUAAUGUAACUAAACCCCCAUUAUUUUUGCAUAGAUU